UUAUUAUUUCAAACCUCAUACAAACGGAACAAUUUUCUACUCGUGCAGCUGAAUACCUUAACGAUGAAUUUCACAUAUUUAGGUGAAUCUUGCGAUGUUUCUAAGCCAGUUGAAAGAGUUGGUUGCGGUAAAGUGGGAAUAACGGAAAGCCAAUGUGAAGCAAUAGGAUGUUGUUGGGAUGACCACAGAGGGUGUCCACAACUGUUAUAGAAGAGUACGUCUUCCAGAACUUGCUUAGGACAAAAAGGAGUUUGGUGGUACACGCGAGGAUGAAUAGUAUAGUCACAUGAAAUGUAGUUGUGUAUUCAAGGGUACUCCUUUGUCAUGGCAUUGUAAACAUUCGCGUUGAAAUAAAUCUGCAAGUUAA